GGCCCGGUAGCGGAUGGUCCGCGCCUGCAUUUGGUUCAGGACUCGGCAUGUAGCGUGCAGAAAAUGCUCGUUCAAUUCGAGCCCGGGCCA